rnacentral:rRNA from 1 species
GGCUCAGGAUGAACGCUAGCGGCAGGCUUAAUACAUGCAAGUCGUACGGGAUCCGAGGUAGCAAUACUUUGGUGAGAGUGGCGCACGGGUGCGUAACACGUAUGCAACCUACCUUUAACCGGGACACAACCUCGAGAAAUUGAGGCUAAUAUCCCAUAACACUGCGAAGUGGCAUCACUUUGCAGUUAAAACUCCGGUGGUUAUUGAUGGGCAUGCGCGACAUUAGCUAGUUGGUGAGGUAACGGCCCACCAAGGCUACGAUGUCUAGGGGUUCUGAGAGGAUUAUCCCCCACACUGGUACUGAGACACGGACCAGACUCCUACGGGAGGCAGCAGUAAGGAAUAUUGGUCAAUGGGCGCAAGCCUGAACCAGCCAUGCCGCGUGAAGGAUGACGGCCCUAUGGGUUGUAAACUUCUUUUGUACGGGAAAAAACCACCGGUCGUGUAUCGGUGCUGAUGGUACCGUAAGAAUAAGCAUCGGCUAACUCCGUGCCAGCAGCCGCGGUAAUACGGAGGAUGCAAGCGUUAUCCGGAUUCAUUGGGUUUAAAGGGUGCGCAGGCGGAGUGAUAAGUCAGUGGUGAAAGCCUACAGCUUAACUGUAGAACUGCCAUUGAUACUGUCAUUCUUGAGUAUUGUUGAGGUAGGCGGAAUGUGUCAUGUAGCGGUGAAAUGCUUAGAUAUGACACAGAACACCGAUCGCGAAGGCAGCUUACCAAGCAAUAACUGACGCUCAUGCACGAAAGCGUGGGGAUCAAACAGGAUUAGAUACCCUGGUAGUCCACGCCGUAAACGAUGAUCACUCGAUGUUGGCGAUACACAGUCAGCGUCUUAGGGAAACUAUUAAGUGAUCCACCUGGGGAGUA